rnacentral:lncRNA from 1 species
CCCAUGCCUAUUAGUUUAGUUCCUAACGCUUGGCCAGGCCUCAGGACCACGUCCUACCUUGGCAUCUGGCCACGUCUCUGUCCUGUGGUCCCAGCCAGGGCUUGGGCCUGCCCGAGCAGGCAGCUGUCCUUCUGUCUGCUCAGGCCACGUGUUUGCUGUCCCUUCUCCCCAACAUGCACUCAAGACUAGGCUGGCCCAGCAUCGAUCAGAAUCAACCCCUGUCAGGUCCCCAUCCCAGCUCUCUGCUGACCAGCGGCUGUCCUCAGAUCUGGCUGGGCACAUACGCACUGUGACACACCCUCACCCUCUCACACACGUGGGUCCACACCCAGUACAGAGCCACCUACCUGCACAGGCCUGCCUAUGCCAAUCCAGUCUUGCUCUCCAAAUGCCAAUGACCCUGGAAGCCACACGUUUCGUUUUACAGAAAGAUCCCCUUGAGAGCAUCGCCCCUCCCACAACUGGAAACAGUUGCAUGGGAGGAAAGGAGACUCAGGAUGCCCACCUGCUGGUUCCCUGAAGAGCACUCGAUCGGGUACCAGGGGCAUCAGCUUACGGAAUGCCUGCCAGAGUACCAGGAGAAGGGACCAUCAGUGACCACCUGGUAGAGGCUGCCGUGGGUCACACUCCUUCAGCCUUAACCUGAGG